rnacentral:rRNA from 1 species
CGGGGAAUAUUGGACAAUGGGCGAAAGCCUGAUCCAGCCAUGCCGCGUGUGUGAAGAAGGUCUUCGGAUUGUAAAGCACUUUAAGUUGGGAGGAAGGGCAUUAACCUAAUACGUUAGUGUUUUGACGUUACCGACAGAAUAAGCACCGGCUAACUCUGUGCCAGCAGCCGCGGUAAUACAGAGGGUGCAAGCGUUAAUCGGAAUUACUGGGCGUAAAGCGCGCGUAGGUGGUUUGUUAAGUUGGAUGUGAAAUCCCCGGGCUCAACCUGGGAACUGCAUUCAAAACUGACUGACUAGAGUAUGGUAGAGGGUGGUGGAAUUUCCUGUGUAGCGGUGAAAUGCGUAGAUAUAGGAAGGAACACCAGUGGCGAAGGCGACCACCUGGACUAAUACUGACACUGAGGUGCGAAAGCGUGGGGAGCAAACA